AGGAGCACAUGGUCAUCCCAACAAUCUGAUGCAAGCUUUAGGGGUACUUAGACAUUUUCCUCUGCUACAUCAUUUUCAGGUACCAACACCAUGGCCAGGAAAGUCCAAGCAAGCACAGAACUACCUCCUCCUUAGACAGCACACAGCAGAGCCACCGAGCCCUUGCAGGGUCCCCAGCUGCUCCGGCCCCACAGGCUG